UCUGAUAAAGAACAUUACAAUACUGCAUAUUUUACCAGCACAGUAAAUUAUCAGGAAAGAUUAUUAGAAAUAGGUAGAGAAACAGAAUAAAAAUUUACAUUGACUGUAAAUAUGAAAUUGUAAUGAUAUAUAUAUUAUUUACUUUUCUUUAGAUGGUUGGAUAAAGUAGAUUGCAUCCAUUGAUGUUAAAGGCUCCCUUCUUCUGAAAAAGGUCUUCCACCACUGCAUGUAAUUUCAAUAAAUCAGGUACUAAUUACAAAUUCUAAGACAUGAAACGCUGAUGGCACAGUACUUGGAUGUAUUUGGUUUUACAGUACUCGCUCCGAGAACAGUAGCUGAUCGGACAGCCGAACGCUGCCAAACGAGUCGCGAUCAAUGAGCCGAUUGGAUUGCCUUCGAGCAUUUCUUCAGUUCUUAACAAGCAGCUAUUCAUCUAUUCAUCAAUAUAUAUUACAAAAUUAAGUGAUUAAUAAAUGUAAUGUUAAUAUCUAAAUAUUUAGAUAUAAAUUAAUUAAUAACGAAUAUUAAAAUUAAAAAUUAAAAAUAAACAUAAUCUAAUACUAAUUAGAAUUAAGUCAAGUGACAAUUAAGAUUUUUAGUUUUUCAAAUAAAUUAAUUUCAAAAAAUAAUUAUUUUUAACGGCUCAAAUUUCAGGUCACAAACAAGCGGUCCAAAUCAAAUUUCAUAAAUGAGAGUAUUAGUACGUCAGGAAUAUUAAAAACUUCACCGUAUUAUAUAUGGUUUUAACAAAUUGUAAUUGAAAUUUUAACUGACAAACAUUAAUCAUAAGUAGAAAAAGUCAUUGUAGAUUUCAUUUAAACUUACUACUAUGUUAACAUUCAUUUCAAAAUAUUAUUAAAAUUUUCAUAAAAUUUUAAGGAUGUAAUGAUUUGAAUUUUUCUGAAAAAUAAAUAAAAUAUAUCAAAAUUUAUUUUAUUUGACUCAAAAUAAACAAUAUUUAUGAACUGAAAAAUAUGUUUUGAUGAAGUUAUAAAAAAUUAGCGAGAUUAAACUAAAAUAAAGGGAUUGGCAAAAAAAUAAAAGAAAAUGCGACAAAAGGUAAAUAAACUUUCAAAACUAAAAUAAAAUAAUUUCCCCAAUUUUCAUUGCCCCGCCCAACCCAUCUUGAUCAUGAAAAUAAUUGUAUUAUGAAACUACAAAUCCAAUGGCUGCUAAUCUUACCCGCCCCAGGGGAUAGAAUAGGAUGUCCGGAGAAUAUAAAAACUACAAAAAAGCAAUGCAAACGAAUCGGAGUUCGCAUUCGAUACGGCUGAUUUGUAAUCUCCUUACUGGAAUGGAGCGACUCGCAUUUCAUUGAACCCCGAAGUUUCUUUUUUAGGUGCUCUCGUCUCUCAAAACUCAAUGCAAAUAUCUCUCUGUGACGACCCUGGGGAGAGCUCCUGGGAUAGAGGAAGUCCGGUGACCGGAAGAGGAGAAAGGAGGGAGGAGAAGAGGAGAAAGGGGAAAGAGUUGAGAGAAUUACGGAGGGAGAAAAUAGCUG
rnacentral:lncRNA from 1 species